rnacentral:rRNA from 1 species
GGCAUGGUUGUCGUCAGCUCGUGUCGUGAGAUGUUGGUUAGUCCCGCAACGAGCGCAACCCCUAUUGUUAGUUGCCAUCAUUCAGUUGGGCACUCUAGCGAGACUGCCGGUAAUAAACCGGAGGAAGGUGGGGAUGACGUCAAAUCAUCAUGCCCCUUAUGACCUGGGCUACACACGUGCUACAAUGGUUGGUACAACGAGUUGCGAGUCGGUGACGGCGAGCUAAUCUCUUAAAGCCAAUCUCAGUUCGGAUUGUAGGCUGCAACUCGCCUACAUGAAGUCGGAAUCGCUAGUAAUCGCGGAUCAGCACGCCGCGGUGAAUACGUUCCCGGGCCUU